GACGAACCGAGCGAACGUUGUUCGGAAUCACUGGGCUUAAAGGGCGCGUAGGCGGAUCGUUAAGUCGGGGGUGAAAUCCUGGAGCUCAACUCCAGAACUGCCUUUGAUACUGGCGAUCUUGAGUCCGGGGAGAGGUGAGUGGAACUCCGGAGUGUGAGGUGAAAUUCGUAGAUAUUCGCAAGAACACCAGUGGGCGAAGGCGGCUUACUGGACCGGUUCUGGACGCUGAGGCGCGAAAGCGUGGGGAGCAAACAGG
rnacentral:rRNA from 1 species